UCUAAAAUGGCAGAUAGAUGUGUAGGAUUUAAGCUCCUAUAAGGAAAUAAUAAUUUCUUUUAGAA
rnacentral:tRNA from 1 species